rnacentral:rRNA from 1 species
AUGGCCAUACCAUCCUGAACACACCCGAUCUCACCUGAUUUCAGAAGCUAAGCAGGGUGGGGCCUGGUUAGUACUUGGAUGGGAGAACUAAAAGGGAAUAUAGUUUGUACAGCAUC